ACUGUUUUAUAGUCACCCUGUAAGAGCAAACUGAAAAGUUCUUUUAUUUGACUUGAACUAUAUUUGAGUAACUAGCGUACCUAAAACUUUUAAUCUGUGUAUGUGGAAAAUAUGCUCUUGCUAAUAACAAUAUGUCUGUCUGAUUGUCUCUAGGACUAUACUUGAUAAGAAGGAGCUACUGGAGUUUGCUCAACUUGGCUGUUACUUGGAAUUUGAUCUCUUUGGUACCGAACUCCUUCACUACCAAUUCAACCCGGCUAUUGACAUGCCCAAUGACAAUAAAAGAAUUAAAAGGGUGCGUCUUCUGGUGGAUGAAGGCUAUGAAGAUCGAAUUCUGAUGGCACAUGACAUACACACAAAGCAUCGGCUGGUGAAAUAUGGAGGUCACGGCUAUUCUCAUAUACUCACCAACAUUGUUCCUAAAAUGUUGCUUAGAGGUAUAACUGAGAAUGUACUGGAUAAGAUCCUAAUAGAGAACCCUAAGCAAUGGCUAACUUUCAAAUAGGCUGGUUGUUUAUGAAUUCACACCUUGAGCAUAAAGCUUGCAGAGAACAUUCAGUGAUUUCAAACCCACUGUGAGAUAUUAAUCGGAGCUACGUAGGACUAAUGACAGAUCAUUUCCUUUUUAUGAGAUUUAGAAGAGUUUUGCCUUCUCAGAAACUGGCCGACUAUUACAUCUGCACCUUUAGGGAGUUACUGAGCCUAAUUGAGCCCUACCGUUUUGCCUUAACAAUAUAAAUAUGCAAGUACCUAUUUCCAAACAAUGAUCUACGGUCUAUAUCCCCUAAUUUGUUUUGUUUUGUUUUCUUAAUCUAUCAGCUGCACUACUUGAGAAAAUUUAAAGUGUUUCUAGUUAAAUUACCCCCUUCUGGAGCAAUCUAAUGUUUCUUGUAAUAUUGAUGAUCCUACUAAUUAUCCUGCUGUUCUUUAAUUAAUGCUUAAUGAAUAAUAUGGCACUUUAAAAUAGCUUCUGCAGCAAGGGAAGUUAAAUUUUGAGUCUUUUUUCUUUUCCUAAAGGAUACUGUAAUACAAUUGCCAAUUCACAACGGUAAAAAUAGCGUGGAAGGUUAAUUAUAUGCUGUCACCUAUCUGUAUAUACUUAUAACAAAUCGGUAUUGUUGCCUUUGGGUUUCUGGUGUCCAUUUUUGCUGUUAAUUUUGUUGUGUUUUGAAAAAUUUGCAUAAGGGGGUGUGAACAUAUAACAUAGUACUGAAUUAGAAAAAUUCAAUCAUAAAAGUCAAAAUAUAUUACAUAAUAUAGUUUAAUGAAUCAUUACAUUUAUAAUAACAAAGGCCACAAUUUAAUUAAUUAAUAAUAUAUAAUGCAAAUAAAAAGAAAUGUUUGCCUUAUAUAUAUUCCCUUUAUUUCCUUUACCUUUUAUUUGUUCUUCCUUGGGCCUCAACAGAAAAAAUAAUGCUUAUUUAUCUGAAGGAAAGGUCAGAUCUAUUAGAAAUGACAGUCUGAUUCUGGAGCCUACUCUUUAAAAGGUACCCAGCCCUGAAGUUUUGUGUAAAUAAAGCCUUUUGAAAAACUCUUA